rnacentral:lncRNA from 1 species
CGAUUGCCAAUGGAACAACUAUCAACCAGAUAUCAAAUGUUGUGGAUUAAAGCCUGAUUCAAAUAGUGUACUAGGAACUGUAAAAGGCCAAUAUUCCAAAGCAUCUAUAAUGAAAAAGAGAAAACCAAAUUCCUGAUUUAAAUGUAAACAUGCAAAAUACCAUGUUUGUAAUGUAAUUACUUUUUAGCAUUAGAAAUAAACAAACAAA